UUCUUCUUGAUAGACAGCUUUGUGUCUUGAUUGAAUCUUGUCGCUUUUCUUAUUGUUAAAGUAAGCUAUGCACUACAUAAAUAUUAACUAAGUAUCACACUUAACUUCUCUUACCAUUAUAAUACCAAUUGUUGUUUGAACAAGUGCAAUAAGUAUUCCAAUGAUAGCAACAACUAAGUUAGCAACUACAGCAAAAUGCAAUUGCUCCUGUAGCUAUAUACAGUAUUCCAUACCCAGAGAUAACUUCAAUUUUUUAUGUAAUAACUUUGUUAAAACAUUUCCAGGGAAGUACCAAUUGCUUUACUAUAAUGUGUGAAAUUGUCUCUUUUAUUUUAUAACUACCAGGAGCACUGAUCCUACUUUUUAAUGUCCUGUUUCAAUGCUCCAUGAGUAGAUCAGGAGAUAUAUUUCCUCCACAGGUAUACUGUCAUACAUUGGUGCUUCUGGUGUUAUAUUGGCUAGGCAAUUCUUGAGUUGUACAAACAGAACCAUAACUGCACAUAUAAAACAUGAGGUACACGUGUCCGUCUGUGCUUGUAAAAAAUGGAAUGUCACUGCACGAUCCUGUAAAACCCAAGUCAGUAUAGUCACCCUUUAAAAGGGGAGUGGUCUGGCUCUGCAAUGUAUAUCAGUCUGUGGUGAUGCUCAGAAAGUAGAACUGCUAGUGUUUCAUGUAUAAAGCCCAGGAUUCCUUUCAUGGCUCCAAAGCAGGCAUCUACAGCAGUACCAAUUAGUACAACUGUAUAACUGAGUGUAAGCAUGCGUAUGUUGGCAUGUGUAUCUCAGUAUGGAGAAUGGUAACAAUGCUUGGUUCACAGUCGACUUUACAGAGAAUAAUAAAAUCAAGAAGAGAAGGUGGAAAGAAAAAUUAUUGAAUGAACAAAACACUGCAAAAGCAUGCACUUAAAUACUAAAAAGCAAAACGCAUCAUAUGCGUGUAAUUUGUAGAGUUUCAUUGAUAUACAUGUAUGUGACUAUCUCUCAUUCUCCUUAGGUUAAUACCAGUAUCACUGCCAGUACUAUUACCAGUGCUCUUAUUGACUGCCCAAGACAGAGGCAGGGAUUAACUUGCAUACAAUGGGAAAUCAGAAUGCAGCCAGACUAUUGGAGGAGUAUGAAGAUUAUAGCUGGUGUUUCUGUUAAAGUCCCAGAGUGUCCUCCAUAGCCAAAAUGCGUAAGAGGAAAGAUUUACUAGGUCAUGACAAGUAGAGCCUUAUUGCUGUAAAGAAAAACUGCAAACUAUCUGGCACAGGUUGAUAUGGGAGGAGUACCAGCAACACUGGUUAAUAUUGUGUCAAGACGUCAGCCAUUAGCAGUUGCAUAUUUACAUGAGUACUU